rnacentral:rRNA from 1 species
CUUAAAAUGAGAGUUUGAUCCUGGCUCAGGACGAACGCUGGCGGUAUGCCUAAUACAUGCAAGUCGAACGCUGAAACACUCUGCUUGCAGAGUGUGGAUGAGUGGCGAACGGGUGAGUAACACGUGGGGAACCUGCCCAUAAGAGGGGGAUAACAUCCGGAAACGGGUGCUAAUACCGCAUAGGUGAUCAUAGCGCAUGCUUAGAUCAUUAAAGAUGGCUUC